CCCAUAGAUGUUCUGGGCCGCACGCGCGCUACACUGACGAUGGCAACGAGUUUUUCCUUCGCCGAAAGGUGUGGGUAAUCUUUUGAAACAUCGUCGUGCUGGGGAUAGAUCAUUGCAAUUUUUGAUCUUGAACGAGGAAUUCCUAGUAAGCGCGAGUCAUCAGCUCGCGUUGAUUACGUCCCUGCCCUUUGUACACACCGCCCGUCGCUACUACCGAUUGAAUGGUUUAGUGAGGACUCCUGAUUGGCGCCGCCGCCCCGGCAACGGAGCAGCGGACUGCCGAAAAGUUGUUCAAACUUGAUCAUUUAGAGGAAGUAAAAGUCGUAACA
rnacentral:rRNA from 1 species